rnacentral:rRNA from 1 species
CCAGCAGCCGCGGUAAUACGUAGGGGGCGAGCGUUGUCCGGAAUUACUGGGCGUAAAGGGCGCGUAGGCGGUUCCGCAAGUUGGUUGUGAAAGUUCGAGGCUCAACCUCGAAACUGCGUCCAAAACUGCUGUGCUUGAGUGUGGGAGAGGCGCGUGGAAUUGCAGGUGUAGCGGUGAAAUGCGUAGAUAUCUGCAGGAACACCCGUGGCGAAAGCGGCGCGCUGGACCACAACUGACGCUGAAUGACGAAAGCUAGGGGAGCAAACAGGAUUAGAUACCCUGGUAAAGGG